rnacentral:rRNA from 1 species
GGGGAAUAUUGCACAAUGGGGGAAACCCUGAUGCAGCGACGCCGCGUGGAGGAAGAAGGUCUUCGGAUUGUAAACUCCUGUUGUUGGGGAAGAUAAUGACGGUACCCAACAAGGAAGUGACGGCUAACUACGUGCCAGCAGCCGCGGUAAAACGUAGGUCACAAGCGUUGUCCGGAAUUACUGGGUGUAAAGGGAGCGCAGGCGGGAAGACAAGUUGGAAGUGAAAUCUAUGGGCUCAACCCAUAAACUGCUUUCAAAACUGUUUUUCUUGAGUAGUGCAGAGGUAGGCGGAAUUCCCGGUGUAGCGGUGGAAUGCGUAGAUAUCGGGAGGAACACCAGUGGCGAAGGCGGUCUACUGGGCACCAACUGACGCUGAGGCUCGAAAGCAUGGGUAGCAAACAGGAUUAGAUACCCUGGUAGUCCAUGCCGUAAACGAUGAUUACUAGGUGUUGGGGGAUUGACCCCCUCAGUGCCGCAGUUAACACAAUAAGUAAUCCACCUGGGGAGUACGACCGCAAGGUUGAAACUCAAAGGAAUUGACGGGGGCCCGCACAAGCAGUGGAGUAUGUGGUUUAAUUCGAAGCAACGCGAAGAACCUUACCAGGUCUUGACAUCCGAUGCAUAGCACAGAGAUGUGUGAAAUCCUUCGGGACAUCGAGACAGGUGGUGCAUGGUUGUCGUCAGCUCGUGUCGUGAGAUGUUGGGUUAAGUCCCGCAACGAGCGCAACCCUUAUUGCCAGUUACUACGUUAAGAGGACUCUGGCGAGACUGCCGUUGACAAAACGGAGGAAGGUGGGGAUGACGUCAAAUCAUCAUGCCCUUUAUGACCUGGGCUACACACGUACUACAAUGGCGUUAAACAAAGAGAAGCAAGACCGCGAGGUGGAGCAAAACUCAAAAACAACGUCUCAGUUCAGAUUGCAGGCUGCAACUCGCCUGCAUGAAGUCGGAAUUGCUAGUAAUCGCGGAUCAGCAUGCCGCGGUGAAUACGUUCCCG